GACGAACGCUGGCGGCGUGCCUAACACAUGCAAGUUGAGCGACGAACCAGGGCUUGCCCUGGGGCAAAGCAGCGAACGGGUGAGUAACACGUGGGUAACCUACCCCGAUAACCGGGACAACCCGAGGAAACUCGGGCUAAUACCUGAUGUGCUCACUGGACUUCGGUUCAGUGCGUAAAGGAAGCUUCGGCCUCCGUAUCGGGAGGGGCCCACGGCACAUUAGUUUGUUGGUGAGGUAACGGCUCACCAAGACCGCGAUGGGUAGCUGGUCUGAGAGGACGAUCAGCCACACUGGGACUGAGACACGGCCCAGACUCCUACGGGAGGCAGCAGUGGGGAAUAUUGGGCAAUGCGCGAAAGCGUGACGCAGCAACGCCGCGUGGGGGAAGAAGGCCUUCGGGUUGUAAACCCCUUUCAGGAGGGACGAAGGUUCGGCGGUGAAUAGCCGGCCGGACUGACGGUACCUAAACAAGAAGCCCCGGCUAACUACGUG
rnacentral:rRNA from 1 species